rnacentral:rRNA from 1 species
UACGGAAGGCAGCAGUGGGGAAUCUUGCGCAAUGGGCGAAAGCCUGACGCAGCCAUGCCGCGUGAAUGAUGAAGGUCUUAGGAUUGUAAAAUUCUUUCACCGGGGACGAUAAUGACGGUACCCGGAGAAGAAGCCCCGGCUAACUUCGUGCCAGCAGCCGCGGUAAUACGAAGGGGCUAGCGUUGCUCGGAAUUACUGGGCGUAAAGGGAGCGUAGGCGGACAUUUAAGUCAGGGGUGAAAUCCCGGGGCUCAACCUCGGAAUUGCCUUUUGAUACUGGGUGUCUUGAGUAUGAGAGAGGUGUGUGGAACUCCGAGUGUAGAGGUGAAAUUCGUAGAUAUUCGGAAGAACACCAGUGGCGAAGGCGACACACUGGCUCAUUACUGACGCUGAGGCUCGAAAGCGUGGGGAGCAAACAGGGAUUAGAUACCCGU